GACGAACGCUGGCGGCGUGCCCAAUACAUGCAAGUCGAGCGGACGGAUGGGAGCUUGCUCCCAGACCGUCAGCGGCGGACGGGUGAGUAACACGUGGGCAACCUGCCUGUAAGACUGGGAUAACUCCGGGAAACCGGGGCUAAUACCGGAUAACUCUUUCCCUCACAUGAGGGAAAGCUGAAAGAUGGCAUCUCGCUAUCACUUACAGAUGGGCCCGCGGCGCAUUAGCUAGUUGGUGAGGUAACGGCUCACCAAGGCGACGAUGCGUAGCCGACCUGAGAGGGGGAUCGGCCACACUGGGACUGAGACACGGCCCAGACUCCUACGGGAGGCAGCAGUAGGGAAUCUUCCGCAAUGGACGAAAGUCUGACGGAGCAACGCCGCGUGAGUGAUGAAGGUUUUCGGAUCGUAAAACUCUGUUGUCAGGGAAGAACAAGUACCGGAGCAACUGCCGGUACCUUGACGGUACCUGACCAGAAAGCCACGGCUAACUACGU
rnacentral:rRNA from 1 species